rnacentral:ncRNA from 1 species
AGGCUUGGUCCCAGCUUUAUUAUCAGCUUUAACUUGAUUUAUACAUGCAAGUAUCUGCUCCCCCGUGAGAAUGCCCUUAAUUUCUUUAUCAGAAACGAGGAGCAAGCAUCAGGCACGGACCCUCUUUCCAGCCCAAGACGCUUUGCUAAGCCACGCCCUUAAGGGAAUUCAGCAGUAAUAAACAUUAAGCCAUGAACGAAAGCUCGACUUAGUUAAAGUUACCCGGGUCGGUAAAACUCGUGCCAGCCACCGCGGUUAUACGAGAGACUCUUGUUGAUAAUUACCGGCGUAAAGCGUGGUUAAGGUCUGACUCACCUAAAGCUAAACACUUUCCCAGCUGUUAUACGCUCUCGAAAAAAGACACCCUUACACGAAAGUAGCUUUAUCCUCCUGAACCCACAACAAUUAGGAAACAAACUAGGAUUAGAUACCCUACUAUGCCUAAUCAUAAACUAUGAUAUUAAAAUACAACUAAUAUCCGCCAGGGUACUACGAGCACUAGCUUAAAACCCAAAGGACUUGGCGGUACUUCAAACCCACCUAGAGGAGCCUGUUCUAGAACCGAUAACCCACGUUUAACCUCACCACUUCUAGCCAAAUCCGCUUAUAUACCGCCGUCGUCAGCUUACCCUAUAAAGGAACCUCAGUAAGCAAAAGAGACUAAAACUCAAAAACGUCAGGUCGAGGUGUAGCGUAUGAAGUGGGAAGAAAUGGGCUACAUUUCCUACAUUAAGGAUACAACGAAUAAUAAAAUGAAAAUUUUUUUGAAGGUGGAUUUAGCAGUAAGGAAGCCUAGCAUAUCUUCCUGAAACUGGCUCUGAAGUGCGUACACACCGCCCGUCACUCUCCCCUACUCACCCCUCUUAGUACAUAAAACCCUAUUUCUAAUAAGGGGAGGCAAGUCGUAACAUGGUAAGUGUACUGGAAAGUGCACUUGGAAUAACCAUGGCGCAGCUAACGAAGAAAAGCAUUUCCCUUACACCGAAAAGACACCCGUGCAACUCGGGUCGCCCUGAACUAACAAGCUAGCCGCUAUUUCUAAACUUUACACCUAAUGAUUUAUUUAAUAAAACCCACAACCCCUAAACAAACCAUUUUUCCCCCCUAGUACAGGCGACAGAAAA